UUAUUGGAGAGUUUGAUCCUGGCUCAGGACGAACGCUGGCGGCGUGCCUAAUACAUGCAAGUCGAGCGAAU
rnacentral:rRNA from 1 species